CCUACGGGUGACAGCAGUGAGGAAUAUUGGUCAAUGGGCUUACGCCUGAACCAGCCAAGUCGCGUGAGGGAAGACUGCCCUAUGGGUUGUAAACCUCUUUUGUCAGGGAGCAACGCCGGCUACGUGUAGCCGGACUGAGAGUACCUGAAGAAAAAGCAUCGGCUAACACCGUGCCAGCAGCCGCGGUAAUACGGGGGAUGCGAGCGUUAUCCGGAUUUAUUGGGUUAAAAGGGUGCGUAGGCGGCAUGCCAAGUCAGCGGUAAAAUCGCGGGGCUCAACCUCGCUCCGCCGUUGAAACUGGCGUGCUUGAGUGGGCGAGAAGUAUGCGGAAUGCGUGGUGUAGCGGUGAAAUGCAUAGAUAUCACGCAGAACUCCGAUUGCGAAGGCAGCAUACCGGCGCCCAACUGACGCUGAAGCACGAAAGCGUGGGUAUCGAACAGGAUUAGAUACCCGGGUAGUC
rnacentral:rRNA from 1 species